GGUAUGAUCCCUCCUUCUGUUGGAAAUGCCACAAAAAUGAUGAACUUCAUUUUGUCUGGGAAUAGAGUCAGCGGAAACAUUCCAAAGGAGAUCGGUAAUCUGAGCCAACUUGCAGACUUGUCCUUGUUGGAUAAUCAAUUAACAGGUUCCAUUCCCAGUACACUGUUUAAUAUCUCGUCGCUACUUGGCGUAUCUCUGUCAUUCAAUAGCCUUUCUGGUCCUCUCUUGCUAGAUGAAGGGAAUAUUGUGUCGAAUCUGUACUUUUUAAGUAUAUCUGACAACCAAAUUUCUGGUUGCAUUCCUUCCAGCAUAUGCCAACUCAUAGAGCUCAAAGUUUUGUCCAUAUCUUUCAACAAUAUAACUGGAGACAUACCCAGAAAUAUUGGUUGUUUAUCCAAGCUCGAGACUUUCUUGAUUGGCGACAAUCCAAUAAAAAGGACUAUUCCCCAUUCUAUUGGGAAUCUUUCAUCAUUAAGGAGCUUAUCAAAGAAUCACUGUACUGCUUGAUGCAGCUAUGGCAGUUGAAUAUCUACAUCAUGGUCAUGCCACUCCAAUAGUUCAUUGUGACCUAAAGCCAGCCAACAUUCUUUUGGAUGAAGAUAUGGUGGCUCAUGUUGGUGAUUUUGGAAUCUCUAAAAUUUUAUCGAUAAGCAAGUCCAUGGCUUAUACCGAGACAAUAUUGGGCACUCUUGGAACAUUGCACCAGAAUAUGGGUCGGAGGGAAUAGUGUCUGCUAGUGGUGAUGUUUAUAGUUACGGCAUCAUAUUGAUGGAGGUUUUGACAAGAAGAAGGCCAACAGAUGAAGAGAUAUGCAAUGAAAAUCUUGACUUGAGGAAAUGGAUCACACAAUCAUUUUCAGGGAGUAUGAUGGACGUUGUGGAUGCCAAUCUUUUUUCCGAGGAAGAACAGAUCACUUCAAAAAGUGAAAUCUGCAUUGCGUCCAUGAUAGAAUUGGGUUUAGAUUGCACAAUGGAAAUGCCAGGAUCAAGAAUAAGCAUGAAAGAAGUAGUGAAGAGGCUUAACAAAAUCAACAACACAUUUCUGGAAACAUAGAAGUGAUCAGCAUCUGUUCGGAUGGUGUUCUUUUCUGAGCUGCAAGUUAAUAUGAUGUUUCUUUAGUAAAGUCGUCGUAUAGUACUUACUACUUGGAGUCAUGUAUUGUUUGUAAUUUCAUUUGAGUGAUUUGAACCUA